rnacentral:rRNA from 1 species
AACGAACGCAGGCGGCAGGCUUAACACAUGCAAGUCGAACGCCCCGCAAGGGGAGUGGCAGACGGGUGAGUAACACGUGGGAACCUUCCUAGAGGUACGGAACAACUCAGGGAAACUUGAGCUAAUACCGUAUACGCUCUUGCGAGGAAAGAUUUAUCGCCUUUAGACGGGCCCGCGUCGGAUUAGCUAGUUGGUGGGGUAACGGCCUACCAAGGCGACGAUCCGUAGCUGAUCUGAGAGGAUGAUCAGCCACACUGGGACUGAGACACGGCCCAGACUCCUACGGGAGGCAGCAGUGGGGAAUCUUGGACAAUGGGCGCAAGCCUGAUCCAGCCAUGCCGCGUGAGUGAAGAAGGCCUUCGGGUUGUAAAGCUCUUUUACCAGGGACGAUAAUGACGGCACCUGGAGAAUAAGCCCCGGCAAACUUCGUGCCAGCCGCCGCUGUAA